UUCAGUGUGUCGUAGUGGUAGGAAACUGGGCUUGUAACCAAAAGGUUGCUGGUUCGAUUCCCUGCUGGAG